GACGAACGCUGGCGGCGUGCUUAACACAUGCAAGUCGAACGGUGAAGCGCUUUCCUUUUUGGUUGGUGUGGAUGAGUGGCGAACGGGUGAGUAACACGUGAGUAACCUGCCCCCUUCUUCUGGAUAACCGCAUGAAAGGGUGGCUAAUACGGGAUAUUCUGCGCCUGCUGCAUGGUGGGUGUGGGAAAGAUUGUGCCUUUGGGUGUUUUCGCUGGGGGAUGGGCUCGCGGCCGAUCAGCUUGUUGGUGGGGGGAUGGCCUACCAAGGCGGUGACGGGUAGACGGAGGGGGAGGGUGGUCGGUGACACGGGGGCAUGGACACGGACCAGAGGCCUGCGGGACGGAGCAGAGGGGAAUAGGGCGCAGUGGGCGCAAGUAUGAUGCAGCGACGCAGAGUGAGAGCCAGCGGCCUUCGGUGUGUGAUCAAGGUUCGAGAGUGAAGCAGCCCUGUUACUCGGGAGUGGGUUGACGGUAGCGGGAGAAGAAGCUCCGGCUAACUACGUG
rnacentral:rRNA from 1 species